GAGUUUGAUCCUGGCUCAGAUUGAACGCUGGCGGCAUGCCUUACACAUGCAAGUCGAACGGCAGCACGGGAGCUUGCUCCUGGUGGCGAGUGGCGAACGGGUGAGUAAUGCAUCGAAACGUAUCCUGGAGUGGGGGAUAACGUAGCGAAAGUUACGCUAAUACCGCAUAUUCUGUGAGCAGGAAAGCGGGGGACCUUCGGGCCUCGCGCUCUUGGAGCGGCCGAUGUCGGAUUAGCUAGUUGGUGAGGUAAAGGCUCACCAAGGCGACGAUCCGUAGCAGGUCUGAGAGGAUGAUCUGCCACACUGGAACUGAGACACGGUCCAGACUCCUACGGGAGGCAGCAGUGGGGAAUUUUGGACAAUGGGGGCAACCCUGAUCCAGCCAUGCCGCGUGAGUGAAGAAGGCC
rnacentral:rRNA from 1 species